UACGGAGGCAGCAAGCGUUGUUCGGAGUUACUGGGCGUAAAGGGUGCGUAGGUGGCUCUAUAAGUAUGGUGUGAAAUCUCCCGGCUUAACUGGGAGGGUGCGCCGUAGACUGUGGGGCUAGAGUGUGGGAGAGGAAAGUGGAAUUCCUGGUGUAGCGGUGAAAUGCGUAGAUAUCAGGAGGAACACCGGUGGUGUAAACGGCUUUCUGGACCGAUAACUGACACU
rnacentral:rRNA from 1 species